GGAUGGUCCACACGAAGUCUAUGGAUCGAUCAGCCCUCCGCGAGACUGCUAGCUCAUGCAAUCUGAAUCUGAUGGCAGAUCUGAUUUGAUCUCCUUCUUUGAUCACCUCGAAUCUUUUCGAUGUCAAAGAUAGAUUAGAGGAGGAUGCUAGAUGGUGGAGAAAAAUCAGAUAAAGACUCUCUUCUUCUUGAUUUUUUCCUCACCCAAAAACC
rnacentral:lncRNA from 1 species